rnacentral:rRNA from 1 species
AGUGAACGCUGGCGGUAGGCCUAACACAUGCAAGUCGAACGGCAGCACAGUAAGAGCUUGCUCUUACGGGUGGCGAGUGGCGGACGGGUGAGGAAUACAUCGGAAUCUACUUUUUCGUGGGGGAUAACGUAGGGAAACUUACGCUAAUACCGCAUACGACCUACGGGUGAAAGCAGGGGAUCUUCGGACCUUGCGCGAUUGAAUGAGCCGAUGUCGGACUAGCUAGUUGGCGGGGUAAAGGCCCACCAAGGCGACGAUCCGUAGCUGGUCUGAGAGGAUGAUCAGCCACACUGGAACUGAGACACGGUCCAGACUCCUACGGGAGGCAGCAGUGGGGAAUAUUGGACAAUGGGCGCAAGCCUGAUCCAGCCAUACCGCGUGGGUGAAGAAGGCCUUCGGGUUGUAAAGCCCUUUUGUUGGGAAAGAAAAGCAGCAGGUUAAUACCCCGCUGUUCUGACGGUACCCAAAGAAUAGGCACCGGCUAACUUCGUG